UACGUAGGGUGCAAGCGUUGUUCGGAAUUAUUGGGCGUAAAGCGCGUGUCGGUGGCUAGUUAAGUCGAUUGUGAAAGCCCUGGGCUCAACUCAGGAAGUGCAUUCGAUACUGGCUGGCUAGAAGAUAGUAGAGGAUGGUGGAAUUCCAAGUGUAGAGGUGAAAUUCGUAGAUAUUUGGAGGAAUACCGGCGGCGAAGGCGGCCAUCUGGGCUAUUCUUGACACUGAGACGCGAAAGCGUGGGGAGCAAACAGG
rnacentral:rRNA from 1 species